AGCAGCCGCGGUAAUUCCAGCUCCAAUAGCGUAUAUUAAAGUUGUUGCAGUUAAAAAGCUCGUAGUUGAAUUUCGGGAUUUGUCCAUUGGUCGGACCUCACGGUCCGUACUGGUGUGAUGGGUUCCUACCUUCUGAAUAACCAGCAUGCCAUUUAGUUGGUGCGCCGGGGAAGCAGAGCUAUUACCUUGAAAAAAUUAGAGUGCUUAAAGCGGGCU
rnacentral:rRNA from 1 species